GGGGCGGUAGCUCAGCUGGUUAGAGCAGGGGACUCAUAAUCCCUGGGUCGUCGGUUCGAGCCCGACCCGCCCCA
rnacentral:tRNA from 1 species